rnacentral:rRNA from 1 species
GGUUAAGCGACUAAGCGUACACGGUGGAUGGCCUGGCAGUCAGAGGCGAUGAAGGACGUGCUAAUCUGCGAUAAGCGCCGGUAAGGUGAUAUGAACCGUUAUAACC